UCGUGCCGUGGCUCGGACAUGCCGGGCUGGCGCUGUCGAUCAGCGCGGGCGCCACCAUCAAUGCGCUGCUGCUGUGCUUCGGCCUGCGCCGGCGCGGCC
rnacentral:tRNA from 1 species